UGCUUCAAGUAUUAUUUGUUUAUUUUUUAAUUUUGUUCAUCAAUCUUCAUGUCAAAUAAAGGACAACAUCUCCAUUAUUGUUUACAAUAAAUGAGCUAAAAAAGCAAGCGGGUAGGACAAGGCACGUGGGGCGAGGCGACGCUAGGGAAGGAGAAUGGUUUCAUCUGCCUUGUUCCAUUGCCAUCAUGUUACCCGCAAUAGGCCUAAUGUGAUCUUAUAUUUUAGUCAUUUUAUAUGAAAAAAAUAAGUGAAUCUAAACUUGACUAUGUUAGAUGUGACAAUAAUAUGAUAACGGAUUAUUUGUGAACUUAACCCGCAGCCCUCAGUGGAAAUCAACUGUUUAGUUUGAUUUCACAAGGUUUGACGAAUCUAAACUUGACUAUGUUAGACUUGAAUGAUAAUAUGCUAAUGGGUCCUAUCCCAGUGUUUAGAGCUGCUAAUGCAGAGUAAUGCUACAUAUUCCUCAAAUUCUUUGUCAGCCCUCAAUUUACUGCACUUUUAGAUCUUCUUAAAGGUUGGAAUUAUCCAGUCAAUCUUGCUCCCCAGUGAUCUGGUAAUUAUCCAUGUACAGAUCCUUGGCAGGAAAAAAUGAGAGGACACAAUUACUAUUGUCUUAGAAGAUCCCAAGAUGUACACUGCAAAGAGUGGAAGCCUUUUCAUUUAUAACCAAGAUCUACGGAGGAUAAUCAAUAAUUUUGCACCAGAGAAUGAGCUUGGUCGUGGUGGCUUUGGAGUUGUUUACAAAGGUGUAACUGAAGAUAGAAUUCAAAUUUCAGUGAAGAGAAUUGAAUCUUCAAUUAUCAAUUGCAAGACAUUGGGUGAAUUUCAGAGACUCAAUAUUGCUCUAGAUGUUGUUGGAUGGAUAGAUUACCUUCAUAAUCUGGCACACCAGAGUUUCAUACACAGCAAUCUCAAAUCAUCAAACAUUCUUCUAGAUGAUGAUUUUAGAGCAAGAGUACUGAUUUUGGAUCAGUGAAAGUGUGAAACUCGCUCCUGACAAAGGCUUGAAGGAACAUUUGGUUACCUCGCUCCUGAAUAUGCUGUCACAACUAAAACAGAUGUCUUCAGCUUUGGGGUGGUGUUGAUGGAACUUGUGAUUGGACUACCCGCCCUUGAUGAGCAUCGAUUUGAGGAAACUCGAUAUCUGGUUGACUACGUGGUUCUGGUAGAUAAAAUUAAAUAAAGCAAAAAUCUUCUUGCUUCGUUGAUCCAACUCUUGAUGCGAAGGAAGAUAUCCACAAGAGCAUAUAUGUAUUUGGCUGAAUUAGCUAGACAUUGUACUGCCAAAGAUUCUAAUGAAUAGGCCUGUCAUGUCACACACUGUGAAUGUGCUUGGGCAACUAGUUGAGUCUAGCACUAAUUUCUUUAUAAUUAUGUUGUAUAUCUCAGACAGAUUAAUAACAUAUAUGUAGUUCUUUAAAAAAAUUAUGUACUAUGAGAUGCACGUAAGACACAAAAUGCACGAGAUGUACUGUGAUGCACGCAAAACACUAUUUUUAUUCAAUA